rnacentral:rRNA from 1 species
GGAAUUUUCCGCAAUGGGCGAACGCCUGACGGAGCAAUCUCGCGUGAGGGAUGACUGCCUAUGGGUUGUAAACCUCUUUUUUCAGGGAGGAAUCAAUGACGUGUACCUGAAGAAUAAGCAUCGGCUAACUCAGUGCCACAAGCCGCGGUAAGACGGAUGAUGCAAGUGUUAUACGGAAUCACUGGGCGUAAAGCGUCUGUAGGUGGUUUAAUAAGUCAACUGUUAAAUCUUGAAGCUCAACUUCAAAAUCGCAGUUGAAACUAUUAGACUAGAGUAUAGUAGGGGUAAAGGGAAUUUCCAGUGGAGCGGUGAAAUGCGUAGAGAUUGGAAAGAACACCGAUGGCGAAGGCACUUUACUGGGCUAUUACUGACACUCAGAGACGAAAGCUAGGGUAGCAAAU